rnacentral:rRNA from 1 species
AAACUCAAAGGAAUUGACGGGGGCCCGCACAAGCGGAGGAACAUGUGGUUUAAUUCGAUGAUACGCGAGGAACCUUACCCGGGAUUGAAAUGUAGAUGACGGAUGGUGAAAACCGUCUUCCCUUCGGGGCGUCUAUGUAGGUGCUGCAUGGUUGUCGUCAGCUCGUGCCGUGAGGUGUCGGCUUAAGUGCCAUAACGAGCGCAACCCACAUCGGUAGUUGCUAACAGUUUUCGCUGAGGACUCUACCGAGACUGCCGUCGUAAGGCGCGAGGAAGGUGUGGAUGACGUCAAAUCAGCACGGCCCUUACAUCCGGGGCGACACACGUGUUACAAUGGGAGGGACAAAGGGCAGCUACCGGGCGACCGGAUGCGAAUCUCUAAACCCUUCCCCAGUUCGGAUCGGAGUCUGCAACUCGACUCCGUGAAGCUGGAUUCGCUAGUAAUCGCGCAUCAGCCAUGGCGCGGUGAAUACGUUCCCGGGCCUUGUACACACCGCCCGUCAAGCCAUGAAAGCCGGGGGUGCCUGAAGUCCGUGACCGGAAGGAUCGGCCUAGGGCAAAACCGGUGAUUGGGGCUAAGUCGUAACAAGGUAGCCG